CGAAGCGUGCGAUUGGAUUGCACGUCUAAGCAGUAAGGCUGAGUAUUAGGCAAAUCCGGUACUCGUUAAGGCUGAGCUGUGAUGGGGAGAAGACAUUGUGUCUUCGAGUCGUUGAUUUCACACUGCCGAGAAAAGCCUCUAGAUAGAAAAUAGGUGCCCGUACCGCAAACCGACACAGGUAGUCAAGAUGAGAAUUCUAAGGUGAGCGAGCGAACUCUCGUUAAGGAACUCGGCAAAAUGACCCCGUAACUUCGGGAGAAGGGGUGCUCUUUAGGGUUAACGCCCAGAAGAGCCGCAGUGAAUAGGCCCAAGCGACUGUUUAUCAAAAACACAGGUCUCUGCUAAACCGUAAGGUGAUGUAUAGGGGCUGACGCCUGCCCGGUGCUGGAAGGUUAAGAGGAGUGGUUAGCUUCUGCGAAGCUACGAAUCGAAGCCCCAGUAAACGGCGGCCGUAACUAUAACGGUCCUAAGGUAGCGAAAUUCCUUGUCGGGUAAGUUCCGACCCGCACGAAAGGCGUAACGAUUUGGGCACUGUCUCAACGAGAGACUCGGUGAAAUCAUAGUACCUGUGAAGAUGCAGGUUACCCGCGACAGGACGGAAAGACCCCGUGGAGCUUUACUGUAGCCUGAUAUUGAAAUUCGGCACAGCUUGUACAGGAUAGGUAGGAGCCUUUGAAACGUGAGCGCUAGCUUACGUGGAGGCGCUGGUGGGAUACUACCCUAGCUGUGUUGGCUUUCUAACCCGCACCACUUAUCGUGGUGGGAGACAGUGUCAGGCGGGCAGUUUGACUGGGGCGGUCGCCUCCUAAAAGGUAACGGAGGCGCUCAAAGGUUCCCUCAGAAUGGUUGGAAAUCAUUCAUAGAGUGUAAAGGCAUAAGGGAGCUUGACUGCGAGACCUACAAGUCGAGCAGGGUCGAAAGACGGACUUAGUGAUCCGGUGGUUCCGCAUGGAAGGGCCAUCGCUCAACGGAUAAAAGCUACCCCGGGGAUAACAGGCUUAUCUCCCCCAAGAGUUCACAUCGACGGGGAGGUUUGGCACCUCGAUGUCGGCUCAUCGCAUCCUGGGGCUGUAGUCGGUCCCAAGGGUUGGGCUGUUCGCCCAUUAAAGCGGUACGCGAGCUGGGUUCAGAACGUCGUGAGACAGUUCGGUCCCUAUCCGUCGUGGGCGUAGGAAAUUUGAGAGGAGCUGUCCUUAGUACGAGAGGACCGGGAUGGACAUACCUCUGGUGUACCAGUUGUCGUGCCAACGGCAUAGCUGGGUAGCUAUGUGUGGACGGGAUAAGUGCUGAAAGCAUCUAAGCAUGAAGCCCCCCUCAAGAUGAGAUUUCCCAACUUCGGUUAUAAGAUCCCU
rnacentral:rRNA from 1 species